rnacentral:rRNA from 1 species
GGAUUAGAUACCCUGGUAGUCCACGCCGUAAACGAUGGUCACUCGCUGUUGGCGAUAUAAUGUCAGUGGCUGAGCGAAAGCAUUAAGUGACCCACCUGGGGAGUACGUUCGCAAGAAUGAAACUCAAAGGAAUUGACGGGGGCCCGCACAAGCGGUGGAGCAUGUGGUUUAAUUCGAUGAUACGCGAGGAACCUUACCAGGGCUUAAAUGUAGAAUGACAGGCUGGGAAACCAGCCCUUCUUCGGACAAUCUACAAGGUGCUGCAUGGUUGUCGUCAGCUCGUGCCG